AUUGAACGCUGGCGGCAGGCCUAACACAUGCAAGUCGAGCGGCAGCGGAAAGUAGCUUGCUACUUUGCCGGCGAGCGGCGGACGGGUGAGUAAUGUCUGGGAAACUGCCUGAUGGAGGGGGAUAACUACUGGAAACGGUAGCUAAUACCGCAUGACCUCGAAAGAGCAAAGUGGGGGAUCUUCGGACCUCACGCCAUCGGAUGUGCCCAGAUGGGAUUAGCUAGUAGGUGAGGUAAUGGCUCACCUAGGCGACGAUCCCUAGCUGGUCUGAGAGGAUGACCAGCCACACUGGAACUGAGACACGGUCCAGACUCCUACGGGAGGCAGCAGCGGGGAAUAUUGCACAAUGGGCGCAAGCCUGAUGCAGCCAUGCCGCGUGUGUGAAGAAGGCCUUAGGGUUGUAAAGCACUUUCAGCGAGGAGGAAGGCACCAUACUUAAUACGUGUGGUGAUUGACGUUACUCGCAGAAGAAGCACCGGCUAACUCCGUGCCAGCAGCCGCGGUAAUACGGAGGGUGCAAGCGUUAAUCGGAAUUACUGGGCGUAAAGCGCACGCAGGCGGUUUGUUAAGUCAGAUGUGAAAUCCCCGCGCUUAACGUGGGAACUGCAUUUGAAACUGGCAAGCUAGAGUCUUGUAGAGGGGGGUAGAAUUCCAGGUGUAGCGGUGAAAUGCGUAGAGAUCUGGAGGAAUACCGGUGGCGAAGGCGGCCCCCUGGACAAAGACUGACGCUCAGGUGCGAAAGCGUGGGGAGCAAACAGG
rnacentral:rRNA from 1 species